rnacentral:rRNA from 1 species
UACGGAGGAUGCGAGCGUUAUCCGGAUUUAUUGGGUUUAAAGGGUGCGCGUGCGGAUUUUUAAGUCAGCGGUCAAAUCGUGGGGCUCAACCCCAUCCAGCCGUUGAAACUGGGGAUCUAGAGUGUGCGAGAGGUAUGCGGAAUGCGUGGUGUAGCGGUGAAAUGCAUAGAUAUCACGCAGAACCCCGAUUGCGAAGGCAGCAUACCGGUGCACAACUGACGCUCAGGCACGAAAGCGUGGGUAUCGAACAGG